rnacentral:rRNA from 1 species
GACGAACGCUGGCGGCGUGCCUAAUACAUGCAAGUAGGACGCAGUUGCGAACGGGUGAGUAACGCGUAGGUAACUACCUAUUAGAGGGGGAUAACUAUUGGAAACGAUAGCUAAUACCGCAUACUAGUAGAUGGACCUGCGUUGUAUUAGCUAGUAGGUAGGGUAAUGGCCUACCUAGGCAACGAUACAUUACCGACCUGGGGGGGGGAACGGGCACACUGGGAAUGAGACCAGGCCCAGACUCCUACGGGAGGCAGCAGUAGGGAAACUUCGGCAAUGGGGGGAACCCUGACCGAGCAACACCGCGGGAGUGAAGAAAGUUUUCGGAUCGUAAAGCUCUGUUGUUAAGGAAGCGGUACUUAACCAGAAAGGGACGGCUAACUACGUGCCAGCAGCCGCGGUAAUAC